rnacentral:rRNA from 1 species
UAGGGAAUAUUGGUUAAUGGGCGAAAGCCUGGCCCAGCAACGCCGCGUGCGCGAUGAAGGCCUUCGGGUUGUAAAGCGCUUUUAAGUGGGAUGAGGAAGGACAGUACCACUAGAAUAAGUCUCGGCUAACUACGUGCCAGCAGCCGCGGUAACACGUAGGAGACGAGCGUUAUCCGGAUUUACUGGGUGUAAAGCGCGUGCAGGCGGUAUGGAAAGUUGGAUGUGAAAGCUCCCGGCUUAACUGGGAGAGGUCGUUCAAAACUACCCAACUAGAGUACAGCAUAGGGGGAUGGAAUUCCGAGUGUAGCGGUAAAAUGCAUAGAUAUUCGGAAGAACACCUGUGGCGAAGGCGGCUCCCUGGGCUUAAACUGACGCUCAGACGC